GGAAGUAAAAGUCUAACAAGGUUUCCGUAGGUGAACCUGCGGAAGGAUCAUUACUGAGUUUUGUAUGAAGUUGUUCUGGUCUUUCGGGGCAAGUGAACGCUUCUCUCAAUCCAUCUUACACCUGUGCACCUAUCGGGGAAGACUUGGAUCUGAGUUGGGUCACGACGGCGAUCUACAGUCUCCUCUUUAUACCAAAUAACAGUUUUAGAAAGUCUUUUUUGCUUGAUGCAAACUUAAAUAAAUACAACUUUCAGCAACGGAUCUCUUGGCUCUC
rnacentral:misc_RNA from 1 species